UACAGAGGUCUCAAGCGUUGUUCGGAUUCAUUGGGCGUAAAGGGUGCGUAGGCGGUCUGCUAAGUUUGGUGUGAAAUCCCCAGGCUCAACUUGGGAACUGCAUCCGAUACUGGAUGGCUUGAAUCCGGGAGAGGGAUGCGGAAUUCCAGGUGUAGCGGUGAAAUGCGUAGAUAUCUGGAGGAACACCGGUGGCGAAGGCGGCAUCCUGGACCGGUAUGACGCUGAGGAGCGAAAGCCAGGGGAGCAAAGCGGG
rnacentral:rRNA from 1 species